ensembl:lncRNA
GGCUACAUCAUCCUCAAGGUAGCACACACACACUGCUACAUCAUCCUCAAGGUAGCACACACACACACUGCUACAUCAUCCUCAAGGUAGCACACACACACACUGCUACAUCAUCCUCAAGGUAGCACACACACACACACUGCUACAUCAUCCUCAAGGUAACACACACACACACACUGCUACAUCAUCCUCAAGUUAACACACACACACACUGCUACAUCAUCCUCAAGUUAACACACACACACACACACACACACACUGCUACAUCAUCCUCAAGGUAGCACACACACACACUGCUACAUCAUCCUCAAGUUAACACACACACACACACACACUGCUACAUCAUCCUCAAGUUAACACACACACACACU